rnacentral:rRNA from 1 species
UACAGAGGUCUCGAGCGUUGUUCGGAUUCAUUGGGCGUAAAGGGUGCGUAGGUGGCGCUGUAAGUCGGGUGUGAAAUCCUGGGGCUUAACCCCGGAACUGCAUUCGAUACUGCAGUGCUUGAGGACUGGAGAGGAGACUGGAAUUCAUGGUGUAGCAGUGAAAUGCGUAGAGAUCAUGAGGAAGACCAGUGGCGAAGGCGGGUCUCUGGACAGUUCCUAACACUGAGGCACGAAGGCCAGGGGAGCAAACGGG